rnacentral:lncRNA from 1 species
UAAAAUACUAUAUUAAAAUAUAUAAUUUAUAAACCCAGAUUAAUGUAUUCUAAAGAGAAAAGAUAAUUUCAGCCUUACAUUUCAAAAACCAUGUAUCUAAUUUGUCUUAAGAUUAGUUUUUGUCGUAAGAUGAAUCACACAGAGCCUAAGUCAAGGCAAUUUUUAAUUAUACUUUAAAAUUCAUAGCGGAACAUAAUGUAAACUCAAUCAUGGACAUACAAGGGACUACAUUUUAAGUUGUGGCUAACUGAAACCAAGAUAUAUCAAUGGAAUUCUACUUCUCAGGGUAAAACUCUUUGUUUUCUUUGCUGGGUAGGAAAAAAUCCUUCUAGGCUUAGAUUGUUUCCAAAGAACAUUUUCUAGAAGGUUGUCCAAAUUGUUUUUUUAGUGUUACAAAGAUAACUUGCAAACAUUCAACAAAAUUACCUAACCCUUGCAGUUUGCAUUUUCCCCAAUUCUAUGAAGUGUCAAGGAUUGAAGAUUGCUCUAUAGUCCAUAGGCAUUUUGUUCUGGCUUGAGAAAAUUAAACUUUGAGACAUAAGGAAAGAUUUUGCAAUGUGUGUCUUUUCUUUCAAGUGAGGCUUGACUUCUGAGCUUGACAUUUGAAAACUUUAAGAUUGACGACAUAGAUAAAUGAUCCUUUUACAUACAGAAGGAAGAAAAGGAAUUGGUAAACAAGCUUAUAACUGCUGUUUAUAAAAUCUGCUAAUGAUCCUGCUAAUGGGAGCCAGAUUAAGGAAUGUAUUUUGCCACAGACUUACCCUGUGGCAGCUACAAAGAAGAGUUAUGAUUUUGGCAUUCAGUCCCUAAGCUACAGUUUUUGUAAUUGGGGGGGAAAAAAAGCAGCAUCAUAGAUUACUCACUGAUGGACAACUGUGUGUUUGUUAAUUAUAUUUACAUAGUCACAGAAAUGUUCCUCAAACUAUUUCAGCACAAAAUUGAAUCUGGAGCAGAAGCAUUGGCCUCUCACGAGCUGGUAUGUCCUCAGAGAAGUGGAGGUCAGGUAACUUAAAUCAUGUUGCAUUAUAUAAUUCCUUAUAUUUUAGAAAGUAAAUACAAUAUCUUAAUUUGCAUUCUCACAGCAUUUCAAUGAAUGAAGUGAGAUGUGCAACAAGCUUUCUAUUUUAUGGGUUAGGAAACUAGGACCCAAUAAAUUCAAUCUCUUAAAAAAAGAUCA